CUCCUGAAAGAGGAAGAGGGGGAGCACAUGGAAAUAAAAGGACAUGCUUCCUCAGUCCUGCAUGAGAUAACUCAGCACACAGACUCAAAGAAGACUGAAAGUGAUGGGAGCAUCUUCAAUAAUCAUAAUGCUACAUAUUCAAGCGCAGCUGUGAUCAGUUUGAAAACCAAAGUUCUGGUUGGUUUUGAAGGUCAGAGCCUUGAAAUGAGAUGCACCUAUCCAAAUGGCGGGCAAAGGAACGCCAAGUUCUUCUCCCCAGUUGAUGACAACAUGCCCUCCAAUCACCUGAUAAGGACUGAAGAACACAAUCAGUGGGUGGAAGAAGGAAGAUUUUCUCUUUUUGAUAACACCAGUGGAGCCUUUUUCAUUGUCAGGAUGGAUAAUCUCCUUCCAAAGGACAGUGGCAUCUACAGGUGUGGGGUGGAUGGUUACCUCAGCUCAAAUCAUAGCAACUUCAUCCAAUUAAAUGUUUCCACAGUAAACGGAACACUGGUCACUUCAAAAACCAACAUUGUGGAAAAGCUUAACCCAGUGCUGUUUGUGGCUGCAGUGAUGUGUACAGUUGCCAUAUGUGUGUGUCUAUACACAGUCAUUUUGCUUCUAACUAUGAAACCACAGCGGAUCAUCCCACGACAGAAUAGAGAGAUGUCAUCUGACUAUGAGACCAUGAUGCCCGGUGUUAUGAGUGAGGGUCACUCUGGGGGCUCAAGUCUGGAGUGUAUUGCUCAUUCAGAUGUACCCAAAGACCUGACAGUGGAGCAACAAGAAUGUGCAGGCACCCUCAAACUCAGUGAAUACCUCGACUUAGAUCUCAAUCAAGUGGAGGAGCAUGUCUAUUAUAGUCUCCAUGGAAAGAAAAGCCCGAAGCACAAACACCUGGCCACUGAAGACUGUUCAGUCUCCAAAUCUUAGGAAGUUGAUAAAAAAAUGCAAGUUCAAAUUCAGCUUAAGUCUUCCAUCAUGGAUUUUUGAUUGCCGACUUUGUGGAUGGUUUCAGUCACUGAUGGUGUAGUGGUACACUCGCCUGACUUUGGUGCAGGCAGCAUGGGUUCAGUUCCCACUCAAUAACGGUGUGAAUGUGAGUGUGAAUGGUUGUCUGUGGCUAUAUGUGCCCUGCGACUGACUGGCGACCAGUUAAGGGUGUCGUCUGCCUUUUGCCCGAGGUCAACUGGGAUAGGCUCCCGCGCCCCGCGACCCUAGUUAGGAUAAGCGGUGUUGAAAAUGGAUGGAUGGAUGGAUGGGUGGGUGGUUUCAAUGAUGAGGACUACUGUAUUGUUUUGAUUGCUUUUCAUAAUGCUGUGAACUUUGGGAAUUAUUCCAUAGUUUUGGACUUAAAAACGAUGUCUGCCAAAAAAAAUUAACCCCAAAAUAGACUCAGUAGUAAUUUUAGCUUCAUUUUCUGAUGAAAUAUUUGAUUUUCAGCCAGAUUUUGGACCGCCCACGUUUUGCCUGUAACAACCUGUCACUGAACUACUAUGUAUUCUGUGGUGUAGUUUUUUCCUAUAUUGAAAGUCUGUAUGUUUUUGUAGACAAUAACAAGUGAAAAUUGUGAUAGUGAUGUCAUCCCACAUGAGGUAAGUGCUUGCAGAUUAAUUUCUGCAUAUAUAAAUGUGUUUCGUCAUCUUAAUGUGGUAUUGAUUGCAUCAUAAAUGCCUCUAAAACGUUUGAAAAGCGAUAGAUGAUGUGACACAGCAUUUGCUUUUAUGAACUUUUUGUAUGAUCAGUGGUGUCACGUAACUGUGGACUUUGAUGGGCACAGCUGGCCAUUAUGUUUGUACUAUUUUAUCAGGCUUGCAUGCUUGAAAAGAUUUUUUGGACAAUGACAUUAGGCACUUGCUUUUGUGAUAUUAAACGCUUUUUGUAUGAUCAGGGGCUCGGCUGCCCGCGACUUUGAUGUGCUUGGAUGGGCAAUACGACGUGUCCGUACCAUUUAAAUCAAUGAUGCAAGAUAAAGCGUUUGGAAACUCAAGCAAGUUGACUUUUUUUUUUUUCGAGAAAAGUUGGCAUUUUUUAAGUGGGGGUUUCUGCCUGACAGUGACGAUAUCCAAAAUAUGACUAAAUACUUUUACUUUAUAGUAUAGUACAUUCCUUUGUCCACUCUGGCUAUGCUGUGAAUUUGGUCUCUGCUUCUGUUGCCAUUGACGCGAGUCGUGUCAAUUUUGGCAAUGAGUAAGGGGUGUUCCAAGUGCAAUUACUUAUUUACCAAUUGUUCCAAAAGCGAUUGAUAAUAUUGCAAAUGACUGCUCAAGGAAAUAAAAUUUUUUUCUUGAGCAAAAAAUAUAUAACAUCUCAGGGCUUUGAUUGCAACUGCACUGUAAUGUUUGUCUUAAAAAAUGUUUCGCCUAUCAUCAGACCAUUCUUUAUCAGUUAACUUACUGUUACACGUCCUUCCCAUGUGGGUUUCGGAGGGAGAUGUUGACAGAAGAAGUGGGGCCUUCACAAAGAGGAACCAAGCAAGGACAGAUAACCACAAUUGAUAAAAAUACAGAAGAAAAAAAGAGGGACAAGAGACUAAAAGUAAAAAUGAACCUAUGAGAGCAUGGAGAUACUUUUCCUCUUGAUGGCCUUUUCUAUGCAAGGAAAGGAAAAGGGAAAAACCCUAACCUAUGCAACCGCUUCCAAAGAAAAGCUGAAAUCAUCUGGGGCCCUCCCCUCAUCUGCGGCUCAGAGGCAGGAUACUAGCAACAAUGGUGACUCACUGAAUCCCGCAGACAGUCUCCACUAUUCCACUAUGAACCACAACAACCACAUUGAGAACAGCAGGGUUUAUAAUCAGCCUAAAAAUGUGACAUACUCCACCAUUAAACUCACAGAUGUAUCGGCAGUGUAAUGCAAUAUCUGAAAAAUAUCUGAAAAAAGGCAAACUAUAGUGUUGUGUUCUAAUAUCAAUGAGACACAGGGGUGGGAUUAAAUAACAUUUCUUCACGCCACUCCUUUUCGGGCAAAGUGGUGUUUCCAUGUUUGCCGUUUUUGUUUUGUUAGUUUUUUUGUUAGUUUUUUUUUGUCUUACUUUGCUAUUCAUACAAUUUUGUAAACAAGAUCUUGGAUAGGCUCCAGUGAGGAUAAGCGAUAAAGAAAAUGGAUGGAUGGAUGGAUCAGUAUUUAUGCUAACACUGUGAAAAGAAACUUGCUCACCUGCCCAAAAUAAAAUAAAUAAAAACACAGAACACACUGCCAGUCUGAUGCAAUCUUAUGACAAGUCACAACUGCAUUCCAUAUUGUCAUGGAUGAGUGUUUAAUAAGGAAACCGGAGUGCCCGGAGAAAACCCAUGCAGGCAUGGGGAGAACAAGCAAACUCCACACAGGCGGGGCGGGGGAUGGAACCCCGGAUCUCAGAACUGCGAGGCAAACGCUCUAACCAGUUGUCCAGCGUGCUGUGGGUUGUUGUAUUCACAGUAUGAAUAUCACAGCACUUAUUGACUCUGGAGCUGACAACUGGACUUUUCUAUCGUUAAAACAUUGAAUUGUCCUUUCUUGAAAUUGGAUGUUCCUAAGGAGGUUACUGACCUUGAUGGGCGUCCUCUGGCAGUGGUCACUCAUCAUACCGAUACCUUAUCUCUUCGACUGUUGGGCAAUCACCACUAAGCCAUACGCUUGAAGACUGUUGGGCAAUCACCACUAAGCCAUACGCUUGAAUGUGAUGUCCUCACAUUGUGCACCGGUAGUUUUAGGUCUCCCAUGGUUGAAACUUUAAAUUAUUUUUUUUGUCCUUCGUCAUGCUAACUGCCUUCGGUCCGCGGAUCUUGUCAGUCGCCUUCUAACGAGCUGCGAUUAAUUUGGCCAGUGAGUAGCAUGAUUUUCAAAAGGUCUUUAGCAAGUAAGGCUCAGUCUCUUCCGCCACACUGCUCAUUCGAUUGCGUGAUUGACCUUAUACCGGGGUCACCAUUACUUAGUGCUAAAUUGUACCAUGUGUCUCAACCUGAACAAAGAAGUCGUAAUUUAUUUUGACAGUUCAUAAUAACAAUGUCAUACUUGUAUAAUAAAAUA